CCUACGGGUGGCAGCAGUGAGGAAUAUUGGUCAAUGGCCGAGAGGCUGAACCAGCCAAGUCGCGUGAGGGAAGACGGCCCUACGGGUUGUAAACCUCUUUUGUCGGGGAGCAAAGCGAGUCACGUGUGACUCAUUGAGAGUAUCCGAAGAAAAAGCAUCGGCUAACUCCGUGCCAGCCGCCGCGGUAAUACGGAGGAUGCGAGCGUUAUCCGGAUUUAUUGGGUUUAAAUGGUGCGAAGGCGGAGGUGCAAGUCAGCGGUCAACUUGCGGGGCUCAACUCCGAACUGCCGUUGAAACUGCAUCCCUUGCGGGUGCGAGAAGUAUGCGGAAUGCGUGGUGUAGCGGUGAAAUGCAUAGAUAUCACGCAGAACUCCGAUUGCGAAGGCAGCAUACCGGCGCGCAACUGACGCUCAUGCACGAAAGCGUGGGUAUCGAACAGGAUUAGAUACCCCAGUAGUC
rnacentral:rRNA from 1 species